AUUGAACGCUGGCGGCAGGCUUAACACAUGCAAGUCGAGCGGGGUGAUGGUGCUCGCACUAUCACUUAGCGGCGGACGGGUGAGUAAUGCUUAGGAAUCUGCCUAUUAGUGGGGGACAACAUCUCGAAAGGGAUGCUAAUACCGCAUACGUCCUACGAGAGAAAGCAGGGGAUCACUUGUGACCUUGCGCUAAUAGAUGAGCCUAAGUCGGAUUAGCUAGUUGGUGGGGUAAAGGCCUACCAAGGCGACGAUCUGUAGCGGGUCUGAGAGGAUGAUCCGCCACACUGGGACUGAGACACGGCCCAGACUCCUACGGGAGGCAGCAGUGGGGAAUAUUGGACAAUGGGGGGAACCCUGAUCCAGCCAUGCCGCGUGUGUGAAGAAGGCCUUAUGGUUGUAAAGCACUUUAAGCGAGGAGGAGGCUCUUUUGGUUAAUACCCAAGAUGAGUGGACGUUACUCGCAGAAUAAGCACCGGCUAACUCUGUGCCAGCCGCCGCAGUAA
rnacentral:rRNA from 1 species